rnacentral:rRNA from 1 species
AUUGAACGCUGGCGGCGUGCUUAACACAUGCAAGUCGAUCGGUAACAGGUGUAGCAAUACAUGCUGACGAGAGGCGGACGGGUGAGUAAUGCUUGGGAAUCUGCCUAUUAGUGGGGGACAACCCGGGAAACUCGGGCUAAUACCGCAUACGCUCUACGGAGGAAAGCCGGGGACCGCAAGGCCUGGCGCUAAUAGAUGAGCCCAAGUCGGAUUAGCUAGUUGGAGGGUAACGGCCUACCAAGGCGACAAUCCGUAGCUGGUCUGAGAGGACGACCAGCCACACCGGAACUGAGACACGGUCCGGACUCCUACGGGAGGCAGCAGUGGGGAAUUUUUCGCAAUGGGCGCAAGCCUGACGAAGCAACGCCGCGUGGA